GCCUUCGUGGUGUAGUGGUCAGCAAACUGGACGCGUAACCGAGAGGUCCGUGGUUCGAUUCCCGGCGAAGGCG
rfam:Stegodyphus mimosarum contig53312, whole genome shotgun sequence.